GACGAAGGGGGCUAGCGUUGUUCGGAAUUACUGGGCGUAAAGCGCGUGUAGGCGGUUGUCCAAGUUGGAUGUGAAAUCCUUGAGCUCAACUCAAGAAAUGCAUUCAGGACUGGAUGACUAGAGGACCGGAGAGGAUAGUGGAAUUCCCAGUGUAGUGGUGAAAUACGUAGAGAUUGGGAAGAACACCAGUGGCGAAGGCGGCUAUCUGGACGGUUUCUGACGCUAAGACGCGAAAGCGUGGGGAGCGAACAGG
rnacentral:rRNA from 1 species